UCUGUUUUUCCAAAAUUUCUUUGUCUCUGUUUGUUGAAGUCCAUAAUUCAGUUUCCUUUUUGUUCUUUUCGUAAAUUCAUGUUUAUGUUUGUGCUUGUGUGAUUUUUGCAUUUACUGGCCCAAUAAAAUAGAUUUAAAACAAUUUUAAUUUGCGAUGGCCCGAGAAAAUAGAUUGGAUUAGACCUAUUUUAAUUUAGAAAUAAGGAAAGUAAAGAUCAAAAUUGCUUCUUCCCUAUGUUUGAGUCUACUACUGUUUUACAGAAGAGUUGGGAUGGUUUUGCUCUAGUGGUGAAUGCUUCGUACAACCAAAGUUUUGCUAUACUUAUCUUGGAAAUAUCAUGCAACUUUCGAAGUGUAAAAUAAGGCCACUCCAGCUAACUGUACUUCUUCUGUUAAUUGUAUAGACUUUGUUGUGCCACGUUCGAUUUGCUUAGAUUUUGGUCGGACGUCCGCUAAUCAAGCCAGAUCAUGAACACAAAGGCGUAGGAACUGCAAUACGAAAUUAGCUGUGGACCUGGAGAGCCAUACAUAUUCGCUCCAGUGAUACUCAGUGAAUGUUUCAUACAACCGAAAAUUGCUUUAAAAUUCUAGCUGAUAGGCUUGUGUUGGUUUUACUUUCUUAGUGAAGUUUUGUGUUGACUCUACCAGUACCAUCUGCCUUAUAUCAACUUCUUUUUCUUUAUUGUGAUUUAUUUUCUCUGUUUGUUUUUUAAUCUCAAGGGUUCAGUAGUUACCGGCCUACUCGCAUAUUUACAGUUAUACUCUACUUGCUUGCUUGCGAGAGCAAGCCAGAAGUACUAACUCAGAUGUUCCUUUGCAAUCCAUUCAAAAUGGAUUAGUGAAACAGUGGUGUUUGUUAAUGAAACAUGUCUAAUUGUUUAUGUUUUAAUGAGAAUCAUGCACGGUGCACGUACAUUUAUUUCUGUAUACCCGAAUCUUUUAACACAAUUUGAAAAUUUUGGGGAACCGAAAUAAUGACUCUGCUGAAGUUUUGCACCACCCUUUACUUACAUGUUUUAUGCUUGUUGCGAGGUUCUUUUGCGGGAAGGGUAUACAGAUUUCCAACAAUGGUAGAAGCCGAUAAAGAGUUACACUUUCCUAGGUUGCUCGGAGAUGAGUACUGGAGGUACUGACUCAGGGGUUCUUAUUGGAAUCCUUCCUACAAGGGAAACAGUCAUCUAUCUCUCCUUUCAAAACGGAUUAGCGAAAUAGUGGUGCAACGUUGUUUGUUGACAAUUUGGCAAUCUUAUUCUCUUUAUCAGGUUCUAGAAGCAGUAAAGGAGCUCUAUGCCUCUACCAAACGAUAUAUGGAAAGUAUUUGGCGAUCGCAGAGGUGAACGGGAACAAAAGUAAGAAUGAAAAGUUUGUUGGUGGAUCUAUGCAUUUAAAACAUCUUGUAAUAUUUAAUUGGGCCAUGUCUUACUUUUUAUUGUCUGUUCAAUGUGUCAGGCCCGGGGUUACGAGGUGUGACCUCAUAUUGCCUUGUCAAAAAUUUUGCUAAAAUGUUUUGAUAUUAACUGUGGAAAGAGAG